rnacentral:lncRNA from 1 species
AAACUUAUUAGCAUAGUGACCCUUUAUGUAUGUUAUAUUUGUUGUCAAUAUUUUCCUCAGUUUGCCUUUUGACUUUUUAGAAUAUAGAGUAGCUAAGCAAUAACUGUUGCUUGAAUCAGUGUUGUCUUACUGAGCCAUCCACAUUCUCAUCCCUUCUCAACAGGAAUGACCCCAAGUUUAUCAGAAGGCUCCUGUGGCUCCAGGGUCAACUCUGGGCAUAUCUGACUACAUCACUCCACCCCUACCAUGGUCUCUCCUCUGUACCCCAGCGUUCCAGGACAUCAUCAAGAAAGUGAACAGACAACACACACACAGAAUGAGAGAAAAUAUUUGCAAAUCAUUGGUAAAGGACUGGAAUUGGUAUGUCAAAUAUGUGAACAAGUCUUACAACUCAAUAAUAGAAUGACAACCCAACUUUAAAAUGGGCAAAGGAUGUGAAUAGAUAUUUCUCCAAAGAAGAUAUACAAAUGAUCAAUAAACAUGGGAAAAGACAGCCAACAUCAUUCAUUGUUAGGAAAAUGAAAAUCAAAACCACAAUGAGAUACCACUUUGUACCCACUAAUAUGGCUAUAAUAAAAAGGACAGAUAAUAAGCGUUGCUGAGGAUGUGGAGAAAUUGGAAACCUCAUCCACUGCUUGGGGAAAUGGAAAAUGGUGCACCCACUUUGGAAAGCAGCUGGCUGUUCUUCAAAACAUUAAACUGAGUUACCAUCCAACCCAGCAAUUCCACUGCUAGUUAUCUACCUGAGAGAAAUGAAAACAUGUCCUCAUAACAACUUUCACAGGAAUGUUCAUAGUAGCAUUAUGCAUAAUAGCAAAGAAGUGGAAACAACUCAUAUGUCCAUAAACUGCUGGAUAAACAAAAGGUGGUAUAUCCAUUCUGUGAAAUAUUAUUUGGUAAUAAAAAGAAAUGAAGUACUGAUGCAUGCAUGGAUGAACCUUGAAAAUAUUUUGCUAAGAAGCCAGUCACAAAAGACCACAUAUUGUAUGUUUCCAUUUAUAUGAAAUAAAACAGACACAUCCAUGGACAGAAAGUAGGUUAGUAGUUGCCUAGGGCUGAGGAGUGAAUGGAUUGUGGGGAGGUGUUGAGAGGUGAAAGCUAAGGGUGUAGGGUUUCUUUUCGUGGUAAUGACAGUGUUCUAAAAUUGAUUGUGGCCAUGGAUGCACAACUCUGUGACUAUACCAAAAACUUAACUCUUACAAUUAUAAAUAAAUUGUAUGGUAUGGGAAUUAUAUUUCAAUGAAAUUGUUAUUAAAAACAACUCUUUGCCCAGCGGACACCCAAACCUUUCCCCAGCGGACACCCAAACCUUUCCCCAAGAUGGCUGUAAAUUAUCUUGGGGUGGGAA